AUUAUACUCCCUCCGACCCAAAAUUCUUGUCUUAAAUUUGUCUAGAUACGAAUAUACCUAAUAUUAAAACGUGACUUGAUACAUCUGGACAAAUCUAAGACAAGAAUUUUGGGAUGGAGGGAGUAUGUA
rfam:Triticum aestivum genome assembly, contig: Triticum_aestivum_CS42_TGACv1_scaffold_320255_4BL